UGGGGAAUUUUGGACAAUGGGCGAAAGCCUGAUCCAGCAAUGCCGCGUGUGUGAAGAAGGCCUUCGGGUUGUAAAGCACUUUUGUCCGGAAAGAAAUCCUUGGCUCUAAUACAGUCGGGGGAUGACGGUACCGGAAGAAUAAGCACCGGCUAACUACGUGCCAGCAGCCGCGGUAAUACGUAGGGUGCAAGCGUUAAUCGGAAUUACUGGGCGUAAAGCGUGCGCAGGCGGUUUGCUAAGACCGAUGUGAAAUCCCCGGGCUCAACCUGGGAACUGCAUUGGUGACUGGCAGGCUAGAGUAUGGCAGAGGGGGGUUAGAAUUCCACGUGUAGCAGUGAAAUGCGUAGAGAUGUGGAGGAAUACCGAUGGCGAAGGCAGCCCCCUGGGCCAAUACUGACGCUCAUGCACGAAAGCGUGGGGAGCAAACAGGAUUAGAUACCCUGGUAGUCCACGCCCUAAACGAUGUCAACUAGUUGUUGGGGAUUCAUUUCCUUAGUAACGUAGCUAACGCGUGAAGUUGACCGCCUGGGGGAGUACGGUCG
rnacentral:rRNA from 1 species